CUACGGGCGGCACCGGUGGGGAAUAUUGGACAAUGGGGGAAACCCUGAUCCAGCAAUGCCGCGUGUGUGAAGAAGGCCUGCGGGUUGUAAAGCACUUUCGGUUGGGAGGACUGCUUCUAGCACUAAUAUUGUUGGAAGUUGACGUUACCUUCAGAAGAAGCACCGGCUAACUCCGUGCCAGCAGCCGCGGUAAUACGGAGGGUGCAUGCGUUAAUCGGAAUUACUGGGCGUAAAGCGCGCGUAGGCGGCUAGAUCAGUCGGGUGUGAAAGCCCCGGGCUUAACCUGGGAACUGCACCCGAUACUGUCUAGCUUGAGUACAGGAGAGGAGAGUGGAAUUCCACAUGUAGCGGUGAAAUGCGUAGAUAUGUGGAGGAACACCAAUGGCGAAGGCAGCUCUCUGGCCUGAUACUGACGCUGAGGUGCGAAAGCGUGGGGAGCAAACAGGAUUAGAUACCCGCGUAGUC
rnacentral:rRNA from 1 species